UGCCGUAACGAGAGCGCUUAGAAUGCAC
rnacentral:sRNA from 1 species